CCUUCACAAAAGUCCAACUCCUCCCCUUCAUUCUCUCUGCUCGCUUCCCCCUUCAUUCUCUCUUUCCUCCCUCCCGUAUCCUCUCUCUCCCUCUUCUCUUUCAUGCAGCAGGGCCUCCGUCCUCCGGUCACCAAUGACCAUCAAAUUAUACCUCAAGAAUCCUCUUCCCUUCCUUUUUCCAACCCUUAAGUUAGUUUCUACAAAUUCGUAGCCAAAUUUUCUGAAUUUCAGAUCUAAGAAAUGGUGACCGCGGGUUUUCUGGCCAAUUUUCGGCGAAGUCUGCCGGAAUUGGACCUUAACCCAAGAGGUAAAAAUGAUCUUUUCCUCGUGGCUGUUCCCUACUAUUGGGGACGAAGAAGUUUAACCAAGGUUGUUUCCAACCUGGGCCGAGAAGAAUGGAAGCCUUGGAAUGUUGUGGGUGAAACUAAGGUGAACAGGGUGAUUUUCUCCUUAAUCACAAGGUAACUGAUAUUACAGUUAAAGUUGAAGCUCCCAAUCUUGAAUCUUUUAGAUCAGUAAGUUCUAGUUAUUCUUUUUUUUCUUUUUUUAUUUAUUUUUUAUCUAUAACAAUAUUGCUUCUUGUGCAGCACUUAGAAAUCUCCUUUUCUUCACAUUGUCAUAUUAACAGUUUUCACUAACUAUUGGCAUUUCUUUUUGAAGUUCUAAUUUCAGUUGUUGCUUCUUUUAGAAAAAUGAAAAAGCUCGUCUGAAACAAUUUGUCAAUAGCAACUGCAUUGAGGGAGUCUUCCCUCCUUGUAAUGUUCUAAGUUUGUUCUCUUUUAUAGAAUUAAGUGCAAGUUGAAUGGCAAAUAUGCUAAAGAUAAGCAUAAAUCUCUUUAUUGUAGGUUGUGAGUUCGAAUGGGAAGGUGUAACGGAUUCAUCCCCUUCCAUUAACCGAAAACAGGGAUCCAAAAGUAUCCUUUCGAACUUGAUUUUAAUUUUUUAAGUUUUUGUUCUUAAUUUUUUUAAGUAUUAUUGUUCGGAAACUUCAAGCAUCUAAUUUGUGCAUUAUAGUGCAUUGUUUUGGUAGAGAACCUACCUGAGGAUCACUAAGUGGAGAACCUUAAGAGUAUACUUGGUGAAGCUGGAAAGUAUGUUCUUUUCCUUCUUUUUCUCCCCAUUCUAUGACAUUACUGUUCACUUCAGUUUUGGUUAUAACAGGGUUUUCAAUCUUCCAGUUCAGAGUAUACAUAUCAAGUUGUAUUUCAUACGAUAAAAGUGUAACAUUUGUGCCUUUCAAUCUCAAUCUCGCUCCCAAUUGCUUUUAAUUUUGGGUGAUAAUUCUGUCCUUAUUGUAUAGCUUGUGAAGCAAAAAAACAUGAGCUUGAUAAAAUUACUUAACAAAUUUAUCUUAUUACUUAGUUUUCAGAGCCACCAAGUCUAUCAAUAUUCACCAAGUCCAUCUCUAUUUCCAGUGCCUAGUUUCCAAAGGCGAAGUUGAGCCAGGUAGAGAUAACAAUUACUGAGGCUCAAGCAUUACGAGGAGCAUGUCACUCU